rnacentral:rRNA from 1 species
GAUGCCAGCUAGCGAUCCGCCAAAGUUCCUCCGAUGACUUGGUGGGCAGCUUCCGGGAAACCAAAGCAUUUGGGUUCCGGGGGAAGUAUGGUUGCAAAGCUGAAACUUAAAGGAAUUGACGGAAGGGCACCACCAGGAGUGGAGCCUGCGGUUUAAUUUGACUCAACACGGGAAACCUCACCAGGCCCGGACACCGGAAGGAUUGACAGAUUGAGAGCUCUUUCUUGAUUCGGUGGGUGGUGGUGCAUGGCCGUUCUUAGUUGGUGGAGCGAUUUGUCUGGUUAAUUCCGAUAACGAACGAGACUCUAGCCUACUAAAUAGACGUACUUUAUUACCGGCAUCUCAAGGCCCAUCGGCUGUAUUGUUACUGAAUGUUAUUUGUAUAUUUUGUUGAUAUAUAUUUAUAAAUAUGUAUGAUUUGGUAAUAUAUAUUUUAUUAUAAUUUUAUUUUAUAAUUGAUUA